GAUGAACGCUGGCGGCGUGCCUAAUACAUGCAAGUCGAGCGAACAGACGAGGAGCUUGCUCCUUCGACGUUAGCGGCGGACGGGUGAGUAACACGUAGGUAACCUACCUAUAAGACUGGGAUAACUUCGGGAAACCGGAGCUAAUACCGGAUAAUAUUUCGAACCGCAUGGUUCGAUAGUGAAAGAUGGCUUUGCUAUCACUUAUAGAUGGACCUGCGCCGUAUUAGCUAGUUGGUAAGGUAACGGCUUACCAAGGCAACGAUACGUAGCCGACCUGAGAGGGUGAUCGGCCACACUGGAACUGAGACACGGUCCAGACUCCUACGGGAGGCAGCAGUAGGGAAUCUUCCGCAAUGGGCGAAAGCCUGACGGAGCAACGCCGCGUGAGUGAUGAAGGUCUUCGGAUCGUAAAACUCUGUUAUUAGGGAAGAACAAACGUGUAAGUAACUGUGCCCGUCUUGACGGUACCUAAUCAGAAAGCCACGGCUAACUACGU
rnacentral:rRNA from 1 species